rnacentral:lncRNA from 1 species
GAGUGAAGCUGUUUGAACUGACUUCUACAGACUGUUCUACAAACUGAUCUGAUUGAAGUGCUUACUUUGUGAGAGCAUGCAGGCAGCUAAAGACAGAAGGUCAACAAAAUCAGGGUUUUUUUUUAAAGCAAGAAGGAAACAGCAGAAAAUGAGAAAAUAGAAAGAAGAUCAAGGGAACAAAGGAACCUGAAUAGAAUAAACUUUUAAAGAUUUUACGCUAAAACUAAAUUUAUAAGAACAGUAGUGAUGAAUUAAUCUCCCAUAUAUUUUAGCCUGCUGGUGGCAAAUUAUUUUGCCUUUGCGACCAAGAUCAGCCUGCACGUUCUUCCCAUACCAUGAAGCUUCAAUAUUUUUUCUACUGUUAUAGAUUAUGGGUGUAUUAGAAACGAAAUAACUUAUAGCAAAAGCAUGUUUUAACACUAUUUAUACACUCUGGUGAUAAUACGUCAUACAAAUUAUGCUCGACGUAUAACCACCCAUCAUGUAUAAAUAGUGUUAAAACACUCUUUUGCUAUAAAUUAUUUCUUAAAUAAUGUUUUCCAUGAAGAGAAUAUAUUUUCUAUCUUGUUUUGUUGAAAAAUGAGACAUUGUAAAAUACAGAUUAAAGCAAG